rnacentral:rRNA from 1 species
UAGGGAAUCUUCCACAAUGGGCGAAAGCCUGAUGGAGCAACGCCGCGUGUGUGAUGAAGGCUUUAGGGUCGUAAAGCACUGUUGUAUGGGAAGAAAUGCUAGAAUAGGGAAUGAUUCUAGUUCGACGGUACCAUACCAGAAAGGGACGGCUAAAUACGUGCCAGCAGCCGCGGUAAUACGUAUGUCCCGAGCGUUAUCCGGAUUUAUUGGGCGUAAAGCGAGCGCAGACGGUUGAUUAAGUCUGAUGUGAAAGCCCGGAGCUCAACUCCGGAAUGGCAUUGGAAACUGGUUAACUUGAGUGUUGUAGAGGUAAGUGGAACUCCAUGUGUAGCGGUGGAAUGCGUAGAUAUAUGGAAGAACACCAGUGGCGAAGGCGGCUUACUGGACAACAACUGACGUUGAGGCUCGAAAGUGUGGGUAGCAAACAGGAUUANAUACCCUGGUAGUCCACACCGUNNCGAUGAAUACUAGGUGUUAGGAGGUUUCCGCCUCUUAGUGCCGAANCUAACGCAUUAAGUAUUCCGCCUGGGGAGUACNACCGCANNNUG